AUGAGAAAAGUCCAUCCUCCUCAUCUUUUUCCUGCUCCACUUUUCAGAAAAUGUGUGCUCAAACAGGCCGUUUGGAGAUUUUCCCUUCAUGACAUCACAAAGGGCAGUAACCCCUCCCUCAGCUAGGUGUUUGUUCUGCCCUCUGAGUCUGCCUUCUCACCGUAAACAAUAGGACAUGGAGCGUGAAAACCCAAGCCAUCCGAGCCCUUCCAGAGGGGGGCGUGGUCAGACACAGCUCAUUUACAUAUUUAAAGGUACAGACACAGAAACAGCCUGUUCUAAGCAGGGCUGAAAUAAACCCUUUUCACACAUACGGAAAUCUCCUGAAAAACUCUGGAGAUUAGGCUACCUGGAUGGGCUUUAGGUUAUAUGUGAAUGCUAACAGCUGAAUUUGUAGUGGACUCUGUUGCUCCGCCCACUACUUCCGCGUUGUUUAUUUACGUCAUGUCUUACGUCGGGAAAUCCCCCGCGGCCCCUCCGGUCCCCCGCUGUGAGGAGCAUAUGUGAACAGCUAGGUUGGGAGAAUCUCCGGAGCAGUCCUCCUGAAAUGAUCUAGAUAUUAUCCAGAGUGCAUAUAUGAAAACAGCUAUUGAGGGGUAUGACCAUCACCAAAUACAGGAUCAGAGUGGAUUUAGAACAAGAAACUUCACAGACACAAUUGUGGGUGCUCUGAGACUUAUUUAAACUGGUUGAAGAGGAGGAUACUAUGUGACCUUUAAGAAACACAAAUGCACAUACUGGUCUGCCCCACUACACUUUUGAUCUGCUUCGAUUUGUAUGAUGCGGCAGUAGCUCAGUCUGUAGGGACUUGGGUUGGGAACCAGAGGGUCACCGGUUCAAGACCCAGUGCAGAUCAAAUAUGGAAGUUGGUCUGGUGAGAGGUGCCAGAUCACCUCCUGAGCACUGCCAAGGUGCCCUUGAGCAAGGCACCAAACCCCCCUCCCCACCAUCUGCUCAGGAGCGCCCGUCACUCUGGCUUCUCUCCAUUAGUGCAUGUCCAUAGGAUCCUGUUUCUGCAUGUGUGUGUAUAUUUCAGCCUAUGUGUGUGUUCAUGACUUACAGAGUGUAGAAACUGAAAUUUCCCCUUGCGGGGAUCAAUAAAGUAAAUCUUACACUUUAUUUUAAGAAGGCUUUUUCAGCAGGUAAAGUACCAGCUUCGUUUGUUUUAUUGUUAUGCCAAGGGUUGUCUCUAGAAAAGCACACACAAAACAUUUCCAAAUCAAACUGAAAUACAGCCCUUAUAAUUCAUUUUGAAAUUAUUGAAUUCAGUUUGGCUGCUUCUCAUCUUCAUUACCAGUCUAAGUUAUCAAUCAGCUUAUUCAUGAGGUAUUGGUUAUAAGGUAGGCUAACUAACAUCUCCUGCUACGGCUCUUAUUGGGCCGCUAAUGCUGUAUCAUUCUUUUUCUUUUGCAAUUAUCAUCCACACCCAUGUUUUAUCAAUAUGUAGAUUUUUGUAAUGAUAUUUCCUGUUAACAAGGAACAAAAUCUCUGUUCUUCAUCAGUUCCAUUAACACUGCCAGCAGAGGGAGAUGAGCUGCAUUAACUUCUAAAGCUACAGCGAGCAGCUGGGACUGUUUUAUAACCGUAGUGCCCUAUGUGUUGUAUAAUGAGUUGUAUAUAAUUAAUUUUAAUUAAAUGUUAAACCAC